rnacentral:tRNA from 1 species
GGUUGUGGCUCAGUGGUAGAGCACUUGCCUAGCACAGAUGAGGCACUGGGUUUAAUCCUCAGCACCA